rnacentral:lncRNA from 1 species
CAUCCAUGGAUUGUUUUUAAAGAUUGUUUGCUGUCAUCGCAUUUGAGUCAGUUAACAUGACCUGGAUAACAUCAAUUUCCUGGAUUUGUGUUGAUUUCAGAAAAAAAAAAUGAUAAAUCCAAGAAGGCAACCUUGGUUUAAAAUAGAAGAAGCUGCCUUAUGAGGCAGGAGAGUAAGAAACAUACUGCCUUUGUGGAGUUAUUGUGAAGAUGAAAUGGAGAGAAGGUAAACCACUGGGGAGAAGGGUGUUGACCUACAGAGACUUCAACCAAUGCUACCAUCAUUAUUAAUGUAACAAACAAAAACAAAAGUCACAAAGGAUACUAGUAAGAAUGUGAAUGUGCUCCAGACACAGAGGUGGUAACUGGAUUGGCAAGACAGAGGAGGGAAUAUUAACCACCGGGUGACUUCCAAAGGGUAGAGAUUGAUGGACCAUGCAAGGAGGCUGCAGUCACAGACAGACCUGUACACAUACGCUGUGAAGUCUAUUUGUAUGCUUUUUAGCACAUGCUGCACCAGUACUAGAACCUAGAACAUAAAUGUGGGUUAUGUUUUGUUAUUGUUCAUGAAACAUAGCCUGCCUGUAUGGAUAAUGAGCCCUCCCCCCUUUGUAACCUUUACAUACCCUUUAUCUGGACUUUGGUUUCUGAGGGCUUUGGGUCCCAGCUAAAUGUUUUCCCAAAGAAUCUUUCCAGUUAAGCAGGGUUGGGGCAGCCAGAGUGAAACUUAGAAUCCCUUAAGACCAAGCUUCCAACUUUGAGUUCAAGAACACAUAUUUUAGGUGUUUUAGGUUUCUCCUUCCUAAGGUCCCACUGAAAGGCAGUAAAUACAUUGUGAAAAGGUAUAAAGUUAACAUAUUUUCAGAUAAAUGAAAUUUUAGGGGUUUUCUCACACACACCUGCACUAUAAGAAAUGCUACAGUUCCCUUUUGCUGGAGGCUAAUGAUACCCGAUGAAAAUUUAAAUAUGGGAAGAAAUGAAGAGUUCUAAAUAUAUACCCAUAUUUAAAAAAAAAAAUUUUAGUGUAUUUUAAAAAAACUUUUUAAUUUUAAGAGUUUCUUUAAAGGGCAACUAAAUUUAAAAUAAAAUUAUUAACAUAUAAAUGUAAUGCCAAAAGAAGCAUAAAAGACUUGGAUGAGUGGAAUUAUUAUUCUCCCAUGUGUCACAUGAGUUGGUUCCAUAAUAAUUUCAAGUAGGCAGAUAAAUUAGGCAGGCAUAUUGUAAUCCUUAGAGCAACAACUAAGAAUAACACUAAGGGGCAUAGCUAAAAGGAAAUAAAAUAUAACACUAAAACAGAUUUGAUUAACUAGGAGAAGAGAGAGGGAAAAGUGACAAUAAAAAGUAAUACCACAAGCAAAAUAACCAACAAACAGGCCAUAUAAGAAGAAAGAGGGUGUAGAAUUGCCCUUCACACUAAAUAGCUAAAAAGCCAAACAAUAUAUAGACCUACUGUUUGCAGACACUGGACAAUAGACGGUGAUGGGAAAAGGAAGACAGUCAUGAAGAGGGCUCCCAGAACCUCUGGCUGGAAGGGCUGUCCUGAAGGAAGGAGGAAUUAAACAGCAAUGCAGUCUCCCUAAAUCGAAGAGAGGUCAGAGUUUGGGGUAGCUAAAGCUGCUAAAAUUUGUGCAGCAGAAUACCCAAGACAGAAAGAGUCCUAAAAGUCUGAGUCUGGCUGAAUACAAAUCUGCUUGUGUAUACAUAGAGUCAAAUCAUAUAAGGUAAUCUAAAACAAAUUCUAGGAAUUAUCACUGCUCAGAAACAAUUCAGUUGUUUAGGGAACAAUUUGGGCUAUAAACAGAGCAUUUAAUAAGUUUGAUUUGGUUUCUUAUUGCUUAUUCAACCUCAGAAUGAAAAAUAGUCCUACCCUGCUCCUGAAAAAAAAGAAAAAAGAGGAGAAAAGAGCAUGAUUCUAAAGAAAGGCCCCAUCAAAGUAUGUCAUUGUGCCGCAUGUCUCCCCACUACCCUGCAUGCCUUUCUCUAAUUGUGAAGCUGAAUUCCAACACUCAACUCCUUGACCAUGCUGGUCGAUGUACUGGACGAUCACCAGGCUUACGGUGGUGAUACGGUGAUAAGAUGAAGAAGCAAGAAGAAGGAAGGCUGUGUCUUGCUUCCGAUGACCUGUGGAGAACGAGCUGAGAGUAGAACUGUCUAGGCCAAGGUGCCCAGUCUUCCUUAUUCUCCUGGGCCUGACAGGAAACAUCUGGGCACAUAAGCUUAAGAUGGAACAAUGUCUGGCCAUGUAGUUUAUCCCAAGGAAAUGCUUUAAAGCUAUCUGAUGAGAUCAUAUUUUACAUCUUUAUGUAAGUGGCUAAAGGAUUCAAGUUUGCAGCAUUCCAAAUGAAACCUCGGGAGAGAACUCACCAGCUGCUGAGUUAAGGGUGAGUGACAGGAUUUGGGAUUAAGGAUAUCUUGUAUGCAGAACUAAAAUCCCAAUUCAUUUCCCAGUGAUUGUACAUUGAGGAGUGGCUUAAUAGCCCAGGAGGAAUGGAAUGAGCUGAAUGAGAUAAAGUGUAAUUUGGUAUCUUAGACGCUUUAAAUAUCGAAAAGACAUUUGGCUGUUCAUAGAGAAUUUUCACGUUAUUUACAUAGCUGGCCUUUGGCGGUUCCCCAAGGUCCAGUCUACACAGGUCCUAGGGUCUGUGGGCUUGGCUGGGUAUUUAUUGCUCAUACUGUUCUGCAUCCACAAGCUGUGGCUGACACCAUCUGUCUUUAGUGCUGUAGUAACUGUACACUGGAGUUUUUCUGGAAAUUUAAGACCAGUCAGUUUUUCAGCCUUCUAUGCCAUUAUCCUUGCCCAUUAAGCCAAAAUUUAAUGCUUCUCCAUAUCAGUUUUAUUGCUUGUUAUCUCCAACCCUACCUCUCAUUGUUAGCUCUACAGUACAGGUCCUUCACGUUUCUCCUUAGAGCUGGUGUGCUAUUAAGCUUUGUCAAGAGAGUGUGUAGGAGUGACAUGAAAGGAAGCGACCUUUCUCUUCCUAGUGGUGGUGUUUCAUUAACUUCCUAUUUCUGCGGCGAGAUCCAUACAGAGGUGCGCUCCCCCACCAAAUUUCAGCACGCCCCUAGGAAGAUUUCCUAGGAGUCCUGUGGGCACCCCUCUGGUCCCUUCCUCUCUCAGCCUAAGGGGUGUUUCCUGGGUUCCAGUGCAGCAGGAGAAAUAGCAACCCCAAAGAUGUCCACGUCCUAAUAUUUAGAACCUGUGACUAUGUUAUGUAAGGUUGUGGAGGAAAUUAAGGUAACUGACAGAUCAUUCUAGAUUGUCCAGAAAAAGGCAGAAAAUGGAGUCAGUGAGAGUAAUAAUGGAAGCAAUUUUAGAGUAUUGCAAUAUGAGAGCUCAACCUGCUAUUGCUGACUUUGAAGAUGGAAAGCUUUGAAGAGCUCUAGCAUGGUAGCUAGAGAUGCAGCAGCCAUCUUGUGACCAUGAAGGACCAAAAGAAUUGCAGGAGAAUAGGCCUUGUAAUUAUGAAACUCUGCCUACUCCUGCAGCCUCUCACCUCAAGAUUUCUGGGUAUAUAAAACAAAAACAAAACAGACACCACUGAUUUUCUUUAAAGUACAAUGAUUACUUGCAGCCAAAAUGAAUUCUGUUGCACCAUACUAGGAAGAAUCUGGUCGUUCUUCUCUAAGUUUUCAUUUCACAGGUGGCACAGUUUUCUAGUCCAUUGUCAUCAAAUAUUUAUUAAUUUUUGUUUGCCUGUCUCACAUUUCUAAUGGUCUGAGCUCCUUGGGGUCAAGAAAUUAAUUUUAUUGGUACACUUUUGAUAUGCAUAAUGACCACUUUUGUAGUAGGGAAUUUGUGCCUGUACAUAAUAUAUCUUGAUUCUUCAUUUUUUCCCAUUCCCUUCCCCUCUCUUCAACCCUUCUUCCCCCACUUUACAAAAAUUUUACUUCCAUUUUUUAUUUCUAUUUUUUUCCUUUUCCCUUCCCUCCCUUCACCCAUGUGAACAUUUUCUUUCCACUUCCCAAUAUCUAUCAUCCAUUUUGGUCCUUAUUUAUGCUUUCCAGUUUCACAUAGAAACAAUGUGAUAUUUAAACGUAUGGCUGAUCUCGUGGUCCAUCCAUUUACCUAAAAAUGUCUCAAAUUUAUCCUUCUUUAUGGCAGAGUAAAACAUCAUUGUAUGUAAAAACCACAUUUUCUUUAUCCUUUCAUCCAAUGAUGCUCAUCUGGGCUGUUUCCAAGAUUUAGCUAUUAAAAAUUGUGCUGCUAUAAACAUGGGUGUGCAUAUAUCACUGUGGUAUGAUACUUUUAACUUUUUUGGGAAGAUACCAAGAAGGGGAAUAGGUGGGUCAAAUGGAACCUCUAGUUUAAGUUUUUUGAGGAAUCUCCAUAUUUCUUUCCAUAUUGGCCAUUUAUCUUCCAGCAGAUUGUUUCUGUUUUAAUAUUUAGAUCUUUGAUCCAUUUUGAUUUUAGUUUAGUGCAUGUUGAGAUAUAUUGGUCUAGGUUCAAACUUCAGCAUGUACAAAUCCAGUUUCCCCAGCACCACUUAUUAAAGAGGCUGUCUUUCUCCCAGUGAAGACAUUUGGCCACUUGGUCAAAAAUAAGGUGGCUGAGUAUGUUUGGAGUUUUCUACAUCUUCUGUACUGUUCCAUUGAUCCUCAAGUCUGUUUUGUUUUGUUUUGCCAGUACCAUGAUGUUUUUAUCACAGUAGCUCUGUAGUAUAAUUUCAAGUUGGGGAUUGUGAUGCUCCCUGCCUUGCCUUUGUUGCUCGGAAUUGCUUUGGCUAUUCUAGUUCUCUUCUGGUUCCAAAUGAAUUUUAGGAUUGUUUUCUAUAGUUCUGUGAGGUAUGCUGUGGGUAUUUUGAUUGUAAUUGCAUUAAAUAUGUAUAACAAUUUUGGAAGUAUGGUCAUUUCCACUAUAUUAAUUCUUCCUACCCAAGAGAAAGAGACAUCUUUCCAUUUUCUGAUAUCCUCUUUUAUCUCCUUUUCAAGAGUACUGUAGUUUUAAAUGGAAAGGUCUUUUACUUCUUUUGUUAGAUUGAUUCCUAAAUAUUUCAUUUUUCUU